UUGCCAGCAGCCGCGGUAAUACGUAGGGUGCAAGCGUUGUCCGGAAUCAUUGGGCGUAAAGAGCUCGUAGGCGGUCUGUCGCGUCUGCUGUGAAAACCUGGGGCUUAACCCCGGGCCUGCAGUGGGUACGGGCAGACUAGAGUGCGGUAGGGGAGACUGGAAUUCCUGGUGUAGCGGUGAAAUGCGCAGAUAUCAGGAGGAACACCGGUGGCGAAGGCGGGUCUCUGGGCCGUAACUGACGCUGAGGAGCGAAAGCAUGGGUAGCGAACAGGAUUAGAUACCCUGGUAGUCCAUGCCGUAAACGUUGGGCGCUAGGUGUGGGGCUCAUUCCACGAGUUCCGUGCCGCAGCAAACGCAUUAAGCGCCCCGCCUGGGGAGUACGGCCGCAAGGCUAAAACUCAAAGGAAUUGACGGGGCCCCGCACAAGCGGCGGAGCAUGCGGAUUAAUUCGAUGCAACGCGAAGAACCUUACCAAGGCUUGACAUGCAGGGAAAUCUCCCAGAGAUGGGAGGUCCGCAAGGGUCCUGCACAGGUGGUGCAUGGUUGUCGUCAGCUCGUGUCGUGAGAUGUUGGGUUAAGUCCCGCAACGAGCGCAACCCUCGUUCUAUGUUGCCAGCGGGUAAUGCCGGGGACUCAUAGGAGACUGCCGGGGUCAACUCGGAGGAAGGUGGGGAUGACGUCAAAUCAUCAUGCCCCUUAUGUCUUGGGCUUCACGCAUGCUACAAUGGCCAGUACAAAGGGCUGCGAGACCGUAAGGUGGAGCGAAUCCCAAAAAGCUGGUCUCAGUUCGGAUUGGGGUCUGCAACU
rnacentral:rRNA from 1 species